rnacentral:misc_RNA from 1 species
GAUGAAGAACGUAGCGAAAUGCGAUACGUAAUGUGAAUUGCAGAAUUCAGUGAAUCAUCGAGUCUAUGAACGCACAUUGCGCCCCCUGGUAUUCCGGGGGGCAUGCCUGUCCGAGCGUCAUUGCUGCCCUCAAGCACGGCUUGUGUGUUGGGCCUCCGUCCUCCUCCCGGGGGACGGGCCCGAAAGGCAGCGGCGGCACCGCGUCCGGUCCUCGAGCGUAUGGGGCUUCGUCACCCGCUCUUGUAGGCCCGGCCGGCGCUUGCCGACACAUCAAUCUUUUUUCCAGGUUGACCUCGGAUCAGGUAGGGAUACCCGCUGAACUUAAGCAUAUCAAUAAGCGGAGGA